rnacentral:rRNA from 1 species
GACGAACGCUGGCGGCGUGCUUAACACAUGCAAGUCGAACGGAAAGGCCCUGCUUUCGUGGGGUGCUCGAGUGGCGAACGGGUGAGUAACACGUGAGUAACCUGCUCUUGACUUUGGGAUAACUUCAGGAAACUGGGGCUAAUACCGGAUAGGAGCUCCCGUUGCAUGGUGGGGGUUGGAAAGUUUCGGCGGUCGCGGAUGGACUCGCGGCUUAUCAGCUUGUUGGUGGGGUAGUGGCUUACCAAGGCUUUCAAGGGUAGCCGGCCUGAGAGGGUGACCGGCCACAUUGGGACUGAGGUACGGCCCAGACUCCUACGGUAGGCAGCAGUGGGGAAUAUUGCACCAUGGGCGGAGGCCUGAUGCAGCAACGCCGCGUGCGGGAUGACGGCCUUCGGGUUAUAGACCGCUUUCGCCUGUGACGAAGCGUGAGUGGCGGUAAUGGAUAGAGUAGCACCGGCUAACUACGUG